UGGGGAAUAUUGCACAAUGGGGGAAACCCUGAUGCAGCGACGCCGCGUGAGCGAUGAAGGCUUUCGAGUCGUAAAGCUCUGUCCUAUGGGAAGAUAAUGACGGUACCAUAGAAGAAAGCCCCGGCUAAUUACGUGCCAGCAGCCGCGGUAAUACGUAAGGGGCGAGCGUUGUCCGGAAUUAUUGGGCGUAAAGAGUGCGUAGGCGGCAAAUUAAGUCAGAUGUGAAAACUAAGGGCUCAACCCAUAGAUUGCAUCUGAAACUGAUAUGCUUGAGUCAAGGUGAGGAAAGUGGAAUUCCUAGUGUAGCGGUAGAAUGCGUAGAUAUUAGGAGGGAUACCGGUGGCGAAGGCGACUUUCUGGACUUGAACUGACGCUGAGGCACGAAAGCGUGGGGAGCAAGCAGG
rnacentral:rRNA from 1 species